CCAAUACUCACCCAGCAAAGUGGUAGUGACUCAGCAUGAUGCUGGAGUCGCACCAGGGUUCGAGUAACGAAAUUGGUACCCCGAGUGAGAAGGAAAAAUUGUUUCCUCUCGACUUCCAUCGAGUGAUGAUGGUUGGCUUCCACUGAGUGUCAAUGGAAGAUGAAUGACAAAGGAGUUUAUUGUGACUCCGUCAUGACCAGACUGCAGUCUGGUGUCCGGGUCUUCCCUGAAGUGAAGAUUCGGGGUCGGGAAUGUUUAUCACAGAGAAUCAUGCCUCUGGUGAUAGCCGAAAUGAGGUAAUCCAAAUUACCUCUUUUUUUAUAAAAGACAGAGAAUCAACUUCUGUUACUACAAACGAGGAACAGAGCAUCACCUUAAUUAUCUGCAAAUUAAAAGACAUUGACUUGUUCUUUGAAUAGUGUGUUUGGCUGAUUCAUUCAAACUUCCCAUCAUACUACUACUAAACCGACUCUGACCAGUGCAAAAAAUACCAGCUUUCCACCAAAAUUCACUAUUUCGUUUCAUAUUAUUCUGAUUUCUGAAUAUAUGCAACUAUAAUAUAUUAUGAGGUUUUUUCAUUCAUUUAUCUUUAUGUAGAAUUAUCUUCUUCUUCUUUUUUUUGACUCUAUGUAGAAUUAUCUUAAUGUAGCUUUUAUCUAUAAGUGUUGAAAUUUUAUUCUGUUCAAAAUAAUCGUUGAGGCAAAUCGUCCGUACUAUAUUUAGAUUGGACCCAUUCUCUUAUAAUAUUUGUUUAGUUUAUUGCUCAAAUCUAAUAAGAUUUUAUUGUGGAGAUAACAUAACAAAAUGUUAGUAGAUUUUCUUUAGUAUGUUUAAUGUAACUUGUAACGACAUAAAAAAAAAAAAAAAAUUGUAACGACACGUAUAUAUAAAAUGAAGGACAAAAUGGUUUUAACUUCAUAUCGCUUACGUCCACCUUUUGCAUAUUUUCUUAUAACCGUUUGGAUUUGUUUUGAAAUUAAUUAUUCUUAGAGAUUGUGUGAUUAACGAUAAGAUUUUGUGCCAAGUUUCAUGAUUUUUUUGUAAGAAAAUGAAAAGGAAUCUAGAAACAAAAAGGAAUGUCAUUUUCCCAGAAAAAAGCACUAACAAUUUAUAAAUUAAAUAUAUUUUCUAUCUGAUGUUUGAUUCUUUUGUCCUCGUACAAGAAUGGAGUAUAUAUUUUAAUUGGAACCUGAUUUUCUUUAUCAUUUUCAAUAAUUUAAAAAUCGAACACUAUUUAAAAACACAGUAUGAUUGUAUUAAUGUUUACUGCAUAACCAUACAAUAUAAUCUUCAAAAGUAAUUAUAUUCUUGCAAUAAUGUUGUCAGGUAUGAGUUGUUUUAUUUUAUUCUAAAUGAUUUGAGUUGUAUGUUUUGGAGCAUGUUACACGACAUAAGGGACCAUUACAUGGAUAUAG
rnacentral:lncRNA from 1 species